rnacentral:rRNA from 1 species
CUACGGGUUGCUCCAGUGAGGAAUAUUGGACAAUGGUCGAAAGACUGAUCCAGCCAUGCCGCGUGCAGGAUGAAUGCCCUAUGGGUUGUAAACUGCUUUUAUACGGGAAGAACACCACCCACGUGUGGGUGACUGACGGUACCGUAAGAAUAAGGACCGGCUAACUCCGUGCCAGCAGCCGCGGUAAUACGGAGGGUCCAAGCGUUAUCCGGAAUCAUUGGGUUUAAAGGGUCCGUAGGCGGGCUAUUAAGUCAGAGGUGAAAGUUUGCAGCUCAACUGUAAAAUUGCCUUUGAUACUGGUAGUCUUGAGUUAUAGUGAAGUGGUUAGAAUAUGUGGUGUAGCGGUGAAAUGCAUAGAUAUCACAUAGAAUACCAAUUGCGAAGGCAGAUCACUAACUAUAUACUGACGCUGAUGGACGAAAGCGUGGGGAGCGAACGGGAUUAGAUACCCCCGUAGUC